GCGUACCUUUUGUAUAAUGGGUCAACGACUUACUUUCAGUAGCAAGCUUAACCGUUUAGGGGAGGCGUAGGGAAACCGAGUCUUAAUAGGGCGCAUAGUUGCUGGGAGUAGACCCGAAACCGGGCGAUCUAUCCAUGGGCAGGUUGAAGGUUGAGUAACAUCAACUGGAGGACCGAACCGACUACCGUUGAAAAGUUAGCGGAUGACCUGUGGAUCGGAGUGAAAGGCUAAUCAAGCUCGGAGAUAGCUGGUUCUCCUCGAAAGCUAUUUAGGUAGCGCCUCAUGUCUCACCUUGGGGGGUAGAGCACUGUUUCGGCUAGGGGGUCAUCCCGACUUACCAACCCGAUGCAAACUCCGAAUACCCAAGAGUGCAAUCAUGGGAGACACACGGCGGGUGCUAACGUCCGUCGUGAAAAGGGAAACAACCCAGACCGCCAGCUAAGGUCCCAAACUUCUAGUUAAGUGGGAAACGAUGUGGGAAGGCUCAGACAGCUAGGAGGUUGGCUUAGAAGCAGCCAUCCUUUAAAGAAAGCGUAAUAGCUCACUAGUCGAGUCGGCCUGCGCGGAAGAUUUAACGGGGCUCAAACUAGAGACCGAAGCUGCGGAUGCGUUUAUACGCAUGGUAGAGGAGCGUUCUGUAAGCUGUUGAAGCGGAAGCUGUAAGGCACCGUGGAGGUAUCAGAAGUGCGAAUGUUGACAUAAGUAACGAUAAAGGGAGUGAAAAACUCCCUCGCCGGAAGACCAAGGGUUCCUAUCCAACGUUAAUCGGGGUAGGGUGAGUCGACCCCUAAGAUGAGGCUGAAAAGCGUAAUCGAUGGGAAGCAGGUUAAUAUUCCUGCACCUCGCAUAGCUGCGAUGGAGAGACGGAGAAGGCUAGGCUAGCGCGGCGUUGGUUGUCCGCGUUUAAGGAUGUAGGUUUGGAACUUAGGCAAAUCCGGGUUCCUAUAUGACUGAGAUCUGAUGACGAGCUUCUAUAUGAAGCGAAGUAGUUGAUGCCCGGCUUCCAGGAAAAUCUUCUAAGCUUCAGGCUAUGUGGGAUCGUACCCCAAACCGACACAGGUGGUCAGGUUGAGAAUACCAAGGCGCUUGAGAGAACUCGGGUGAAGGAACUAGGCAAAAUGGCACCGUAACUUCGGGAGAAGGUGCGCCGGUUUUGGUGAUGGGACUUGCUCCCUAAGCUGAGGCCGGUCGAAGAUACCAGGUGGCUGCGACUGUUUAUUAAAAACACAGCACUCUGCAAACACGAAAGUGGACGUAUAGGGUGUGACGCCUGCCCGGUGCUUGAAGGUUAAUUGAUGGGGUUAGCAUUAGCGAAGCUCUUGAUCGAAGCCCAAGUAAACGGCGGCCGUAACUAUAACGGUCCUAAGGUAGCGAAAUUCCUUGUCGGGUAAGUUCCGACCUGCACGAAUGGCGUAACGAUGGCCACACUGUCUCCACCCGAGACUGAGUGAAAUUGAAAUCGCUGUUAAGAUGCAGUGUACCCGCGGCUAGACGGAAAGACCCCGUGAACCUUUACUAUAGCUUUGCACUGGACUUUGAGCCUACUUGUGUAGGAUAGGUGGGAGGCUUUGAAACCGGAUCGCCAGAUUCGGUGGAGCCAACCUUGAAAUACCACCCUGGUAUGUUUGAAGUUCUAACCCAGACUUCGGUCGGGGACAGUGUAUGGUGGGUAGUUUGACUGGGGCGGUCUCCUCCCAAAGAGUAACGGAGGAGCACGAAGGUACCCUCAGCAUGGUCGGAAAUCAUGCAAUGAGUGCAAGAGUAUAAGGGUGCUUGACUGCGACACAGACACGUGGAGCAGGUACGAAAGUAGGUUCUAGUGAUCCGGUGGUUCUGUAUGGAAGGGCCAUCGCUCAACGGAUAAAAGGUACU
rnacentral:rRNA from 1 species